UAUAGUUAAACAACUUUAUUAACAUAGUCAAGCAGUGAUUAACAUUCACAUCUAUUAUGUCACAUCAUACAAAUGUAAAUACAAAAUUACUACAGUACAAUAUAUAUUCUCUGCAUGAUCCAAAAUAUUUGGUGGCCCCAAAAAACUCUCUUUAAAAUUCAGCAGCUUAUCAAAAAUUAAAACCGUAUUCUAUUUAAAAUGAAGAUCUGUUAGCACAGAGUUAGACUUCAAGAACUACCAAUUUAGUACAGUUUGAGAAGUUGCAGGAUAUGUUUGAAGGACACAUUCUAACAUAGUGUGGCAGGUACAGGAAACAUCAGAUUUAAAGCUUUUAAGCAUAACUCAUACAACCUAAGUUGUCAGCAGAAAGAUCCAGUUAUUUAUAACUAAGCAGGUUCUACUAAGUUAUUGCACCCAAUGUUAACAUGAAUACUAAGUGUAAAACUCUCAUAAUAUGAAGUGAUUUACCACAUUUAAGUAUCUCUUAAGAUGAUAAUCUACCAAGUAAAAUUAAUUACAUAGUAUUAUCUAAUUAUUAUCUCCAUAAAAAAACCAAAGAAUCAGUCUGGUUAUAUAUAUAUAUCCACAUAGGAGAGCAGUGACAGAAAGAUGAGGGGAACGUCUUUAUGAGGUGACCAUUGGGAGGAGACAACACUGCCUUGUAGGCUAAGCAUGUUAGAGCAGGCAUUUGACAAGAUGACUAGACCCGUGACAUAGGGUUCCUCAGAACUGAGCCACAGUACGGCAGCAAUGGAUAACAAACAAAAGCUCCUACUGAAAGGGAAAAGAGCUUUGUAAUUAGUGAUCUCUGAUUGGCAAUACAUUUGCCUUGGUUGUUCAAUGUACAGAGGGGGGAAAGAAAACCAGCCUGAACUUCCCUCAAGGUCAUGCACACAUUCUGCUGCUACACAUCUUUUAUGUCAACACAAUAAACUCUGGGAUACAAACUAUAACAACAGUUGCUGCAAUUAUGCUUAUACCUUACAAAUGUAUAAGUAUAAUAAUUAGGCAUUGAGAAUUAUCUAUCUAUCUAUAUAUAUGUAAUACCAACAGGGAGAAGAUCUGUAUCAAGCCUGAAGUUAGAUUCCAGUUACCUAGAAAGCACACAGGUAAGAGGAGCUAACUUUCAUGUGAAACUUAACGUUAACGAGGCUUAGAAGCACUGCCAUAUUUAAUGCAGCAUGAAAUGCUCCAGCUGAUAUACAAUGCUACCGCACGGCACUGAACUAGAGAAAUCCUUACCAACACAGGCCACUCAAUUAUCCCAGGGUGUUAACCAGUUUUCUUAUAGCUUCCCAUGACCACGUCAUUAAACAGCACUAGCAGCAACAAUUAGUGUCCC
rnacentral:lncRNA from 1 species